UUACGGCUUGCAUCACGGUUGUGCUUCUUUGGCAGUUUGUGAGCGAUUGGUGUAAGAUCCCCAAUAUCUACGAUGUCAGUUUCAAAGAUAUAUUGGAGGUUUCUAGUGUUAGCGGAAUUAAAGAUCCAUAGUGCUUCAAGGUAUCAUGGUUAUUGGAUGUUGGAGUCUUUGGAAGGCGAGGAACAAUCUCAUCUUCUCCGACCAUUUGGCAGCUCUUAUCACAGUGGUGUCAUGUUUCUUCUAUUUAUGCUUUCCACUUCCAUGACUUGUUACAGCUACAUCAGAGCUUUAGCAGGUCAAAUAAACAACGUAAGGUGUAUCAGAUAGUCAUUUUAACGGUUUUAUGGAGCUUAUGGAGAACAAGAAAUAAUGCGGUCUUCAACAACAAACAACCUCAUAUUGCAGUCGUGAUUGAGGAGUCGAAUGCGCUUAGUUUCCUUUGGGUUAAGUACCGUUGAAGUCGAGUAAUGUGUCUUGGGAGGCAUGAAAGAAAUUUGAUCUUGUUGCUUUGUUUAAGUUUUGCAUUGUUGUUUUUUGGUGUAUGGUUUGGGUUUUGUUGUGUUGGCCAACCUCUUGCUAGUUGGGGUUUAUGAUUAUAAUAAAACGAGGUUUAGUUGGUCGUUCAAAAUAGGAAGUUGAGAAAGAUUUAUUGAUAUAUCUAUAAUAUGUAUAUAUACACACAUGCAUUUGUAAUAUCAAAGAAAUCUUAAUAAUAGAAGAAGAGAUUCGGUUUUGA